GCCGGGCGUGGUGGCUCGCGCCUGUAAUCCCAGCACUUUGGGAGGCCAAGGUGGGUGGAUCACCUGAGGUCAGGAGUUCAAGACCAGCCUGACCAACAUGGUGAAACCCCGUCUCUA
rnacentral:SRP_RNA from 1 species